GCAUAUUCACAAUGAAAUGAUACUUAUAGCAUCAUAAGUAACCAAUCAUUUUCCCAGAAAACACAUUUACAACUGAUGAAACUAUUCACAGAUAUUUACAUCCAAAGAAUACUACAAGCAUAAUCACAACACCAUUGCUUUUUAGCUUUCACUCUUUUUUCUUUUUCUUAAUUUUCCUUCUAUAACCAUCAUUCUUCACUUCUCCUUCCUCCAGACACAGUUCGAAUGACAAAUUUACACCAAUUAUCAAGAGACAAAGUCGAGGUUACUUCAAAUAAUUCUGAAAAACAUAAGACACAAGGUACUGGGAGUGUCCAUAGACGAUUUUUUAUUUUUUUACAGUUUAACUUUCAGUUUACUCCUCAGUCCAUAUUUAGGCUUGUAAUAGUUAACAAAAAACAGCUUAGUGUUUGAUCCACUAAGCAACAAAGAAUCUGGAGAAAAGAUAUCAAAUCAACUGAGCCACUGCAGUAUGUCAGCUAUACCGCAAAGAUGAGAGCCACUGUUCCAUAAACUUCUCAUUCCCAGAAGCAUGUAUAUCCCUGAAAUUACCAAUGGUCUGCAUGAACUUGUCUUGAGCAUUAUCUUCCAAAUCCGCGCGCCCACGUCCAUAGCAAGGAACUAGUACAGCAAAACUAUCAUCUCUAUCAUCAUCACUCUGGAAACCAGGGCCAUGAGGCUCCAACCAUCCAACAGACCAAUCCGAAUCAUCUGACUCAGAACCUGAAACACAUCCGCCAUCCGAUGGAACAAGAACAAUAUCAUACUCCCUAUCAACCUUCCGCUCCUCACGACUCUCCCAUUUUCGCUUAACCUUUCUAGAUGAGGAGGCCAUAUUCCUUCUCCUAUCAAGAGUGAACUUCAAAGUAUCCAAUUCCAACAAACUCGAAUCAGGUGAUGAAUUUACAGAAGUCCCUUUCGAUAUUUUAGGUUCUUGAUGCUUUCCACUCCAAAGCCACCAUGAUAAAGGGUUAAAGGCCAAAGCCAUGUCUUAGUAAAUCAAGUAAAUUACUUGCCCUUUAUAGAAUCAAAAUCCGGGAUUGAGUUAUGAACAAAAAUGUUGGCGGAUACAAUGAAUCUUGGAUUUCGAAGCCUAAUGACAAUUGAAUGUGCUGUAAGAGUUAUUAGUUCCUUGAAAACUCAAAAUUUAGUAAAUCAGAGCAAUUCUAGUUCAAAAGGGGUUGUUUAUUUUUCCAAAUCUGACGAUAUUAUUGAAGAAAAAAGAAAAAAAAGAGAUUAUUUUUUUACAUACGAAGCUUUGUGAUAGUUUCCUUCAAGA
rnacentral:misc_RNA from 1 species